UACGUAGGGUGCAAGCGUUAAUCGGAAUUACUGGGCGUAAAGCGUGCACAGGCGGUUUUGUAAGACUGUCGUGAAAUCCCCGGGCUCAACCUGGGAAUGGCGAUGGUGACUGCAAGGCUAGAGUUUGGCAGAGGGGGGUAGAAUUCCACGUGUAGCAGUGAAAUGCGUAGAUAUGUGGAGGAACACCGAUGGCGAAGGCAGCCCCCUGGGCCAAAACUGACGCUCAUGCACGAAAGCGUGGGGAGCAAACAGG
rnacentral:rRNA from 1 species